ensembl:snRNA U6 U6 spliceosomal RNA
GUGCUCACUUCAGCAGCACAUAUACUAAAAUUGGAAGGACACAGAGAAGAUUAGCACGGCCCAAAUGCGGUCACUUGACCAUGAGGGGAGGGAUGUCACAAUUUC